AGCAGCCGCGGUAAUUCCAGCUCCAAUAGCGUAUGUUAAAGUUGUUGCAGUUAAAAAGCUCGUAGUUGAACUUCGGGAUCAAUUGGUCGGUCAUGCCAAUAGGUAUGUACUGGCCAUAUUGGUUCUCACCUUCUAAUGAACCAUAAUGUCAUUCAUUUGAUGUUUUGGGGAAUUAGGACUGUUACCUUGAAAAAUUAGAGUGUUUAAAGCAGGCUUACGCUUGAAUACAUUAGCAUGGAAUAAUGAAAUAGGACAUCGCAUUCUAUUUUGUUGGUUUCUAGGAUCGAUGUAAUGAUUAAUAGGGAUAGUUGGGGCAUUAGUAUUCAAUUGUCAGAGGUGAAAUUCUUGGAUUUAUUGAAGACUAACUACUGCGAAAGCAUUUGCCAAGGAUGUUUUCA
rnacentral:rRNA from 1 species